CCUACGGGUGACAGCAGUGGGGAAUAUUGGUCAAUGGGCGCAAGCCUGACCCAGCAACGCCGCGUGAAGGAAGAAGGCUUUAGGGUUGUAAACUUCUUUUCUUAGGGACGAAGAAAGUGACGGUACCUGAGGAAUAAGCCACGGCUAACUACGUGCCAGCAGUCGCGGUAAUACGGAGGGGGCAGUCGUUAUCCGGAUUUAUUGGGUGUAAAGGGCGUGUAGGCGGGAGCGCAAGUCAGAUGUGAAAACUCAGGGCUCAACCCUGAGCCUGCAUUUGAAACUGUGUUUCUUGAGUGCGGGAGAGGCAAUCGGAAUUCGGUGUGUAGCGGUGAAAUGCUUAGAUAUACGGAGGAACACCAGUGGCGAAGGCAGAUUGCUGGACAGUAACUGACGCUGAGGCGCGAAAGCGUGGGGAGCAAACAGGAUUAGAUACCCGAGUAGUC
rnacentral:rRNA from 1 species